rnacentral:tRNA from 1 species
GCUUCUAUAGCUCAGUCGGAUCGAGCGUUGUACUUAUAAACAGUAUAGGCAAUGAGGAAGUCGGUGGUUCGAGCUCGCCUAGGAGCA